CAGUAGCCACGGUAAUACAGAGGGUGCAAGCGUUAAUCGGAAUUACUGGGCGUAAAGCGCGCGUAGGUGGUUUGUUAAGUUGGAUGUGAAAUCCCCGGGCUCAACCUGGGAACUGCAUCCAAAACUGGCAAGCUAGAGUAUGGUAGAGGGUGGUGGAAUUUCCUGUGUAGAGGUGAAAUGCGUAGAUAUAGGAAGGAACACCAGUGGCGAAGGCGACCACCUGGACUGAUACUGACACUGAGGUGCGAAAGCGUGGGGAGCAAACAGGAUUAGAUACCCCUGUAGUCCCUGUCUCUUAUAC
rnacentral:rRNA from 1 species